CAGACACCCAACUGAGUCUGAAGCUAAGUCACAAGGGACUCCUUCCCAUCUUUUCCCAGUCACUGCCACCAAGGAGAAAGGCACCCAGGAAAGUCACAGGACCCCAGGCCUCCUGGCAGAUCUCAAGUGAAACAAAUUACUGCUGGAGAAAAAGUGUGGUGCCCUGGCCUCCUCCCUCUGAACACACAGCUGGCUCUUUAAGGAAGAGGAAUAGUGCAAAAUAUUUUGGAGGAAGCAGACGUUUCUCUUGACCUCUUUCCUGGCUGGGAUGAUGAUUUCUCAGGUGGUGAGGUCACCGCUUGGCAGGUGUUGAGGUGACCCAGCCUGGCUUGCCCCUUUUGACCUCAUGAUGCAAACCUCUUGAAAAGACAAAUGAGCAGUGUGAGGUAAGGCCUCUGCCUGGGCAGAUGGAUGUGCCCAACAGCUUCUUGGAGCAUGGCAGGGGACGUGUCUGGCAAAGCCUAGAAAACUGUACUUGUACUAAGACCCCGAUGAGCUGCUCUGAGGCGGAUCUCCAGGAUUUACCUAGAUCUGGCGCCUUGUCCCUGGCUAUUGAAACAGCGAAGUUGGCCAGGCCUGUUGCCCUGGGCCACAGUGUGCUUUGUAAGAGACUUGCCUUGUUGAGAACUCAGAAAGUCUGGUGGUGGUUGUGCAUGUCUUUAAUCCUAGCCUUUAGGAGUCAGAGGCAGGCAGAUCUCUGUGAAUUUGA